rnacentral:rRNA from 1 species
ACCGAUUGAAUGGCUUAGUGAGGCCCUCGGAUCGAUGUUCGGAGACUGGCAACAGUUUCCGUUCGUUGAGAAGUUGGUCAAACUUGGUCAUUUAGAGGAAGUAAAAGUCGUA